rnacentral:rRNA from 1 species
AUGGCGGUGCCUUGUUACGACUCUGGCAGCCUGCCCAUCCGCGUGUUGAGCCACCGCCUCGUGAAGGCCUCAGACCCCUCCAUCGAGCCGCACGUGGCCGCUGUCUCCAACCUCGACCUUUACCCGAACAUCGUGCAAGCCUCCAUAGUGUGCCUCUACCCCAAGCCCAAGCUUCUGAAGCUGGCUGCCGGGGACUUUAGCGCGGUCGUGGCGGUCUUCGAGGGGUUCUUGCCGUCCCUGCUCAACCACUUCUACCCUCUUGCAGGGCGCAUCGUCAGCAACCCGACAUCGGGGCUCCCUGAGCUCCAUUGCCACAACCAAGGCGUGGAGCUUAUCGUCGGCGAUGUGGGCCUCGUUUUGGGGAACCUGGACUAUAACCAGAAUUCGGUCACAAUACACUGCAUGCGUACACCUGAUACGUGA